rnacentral:rRNA from 1 species
ACGGAAGGCAGCAGUGGGGAAUAUUGGGCAAUGGGCGCAAGCCUGACCCAGCAACGCCGCGUGAAGGAAGAAGGCUUUCGGGUUGUAAACUUCUUUUGUCAGGGAAGAGUAGAAGACUGUACCUGGCGAAUAAGCCACGGCUAACUACGUGCCAGCAGCCGCGGUAAUACGUAGGUGGCAAGCGUUGUUCGGAUUUACUGGGUGUAAAGGGCGUGUAGGCGGAGAUGCAAGUCAGAAGUGAAAUCUAGGGGCUCAACCCCUAAACUGCUUUUGAAACUGCAUCCCUUGAGUAUCGGAGAGGCAGGCGGAAUUCCUAGUGUAGCGGUGAAAUGCAUAGAUAUUAGGAGGAACACCAGUGGCGAAGGCGGCCUGCUGGACGACAACUGACGCUGAGGCGCGAAAGCGUGGGGAGCAAACAGGAUUAGAUACCCUGGUA